CAUCCAACCAGUAAGCCAUCCAUCUAUUCAGCCAGCCUACCUGACAGCCAGUUAACUUUCCAUUCAUACAACCAGCCAGCCAGCCAUCCAUCUUACAACCAGCCAUUCGUCCAUCUAUCUAUUCAUCCGACCAACCAACCUGCCAUCCAUUCAACCAGCCAGCCAGCCAUCCAUCUAUCCAGCCAGCCUACCUAACAGUCAGCUAUCCAUCCAUCUAGCCAGCCAGACAUCCAACCAGCCAGUCAUCCAACCAGUUAGCCAUCUAUUCAAUCAGGCAGCCAUCCAUCUAUCCAGCAUCCCACCUGCCAGCCAGCCAUCUAUUUGCCAACCAGCAAGCCAACCAUUCAUCCAUGUAUCCAUCCAUCUGACCAACUAUCCAUCUAUCCAUCCAUUCAACCAGCCAGCCAUGCAUCUAUCUAGUCAUCCCACCUGACAGCCAGAUGGCUUUCUAUCCAUCCAUCCAUCCAACCAGCCAGUCAUCCAUCCGACAACCAGCCACCUGGUUGGGCACCUGUUUUAAAGAAGGAUAUUAUGGUACUUGAAAAAUUGCAGAG